rnacentral:rRNA from 1 species
UGGGGAAUUUUGGACAAUGGGCGAAAGCCUGAUCCAGCAAUGCCGCGUGCAGGAUGAAGGCCUUCGGGUUGUAAACUGCUUUUGUACGGAACGAAAAAGCUCCUUCUAAUACAGGGGGCCAUGACAGUACCGUAAGAAUAAGCACCGGCUAACUACGUGCCAGCAGCCGCGGUAAUACGUAGGGUGCGAGCGUUAAUCGGAAUUACUGGGCGUAAAGCGUGCGCAGGCGGUUAUGUAAGACAGAUGUGAAAUCCCGGCU